GGACCUGUGGCCUAGUCUGGACAGCAGAUAACCAAGGGUUUAUCUUGGCGUGUCUCUGGGACACAUAAGGCGAUUCCCUCCUAAGGAAUAGAUCGGGGGUUCGAAUCCUCCCAGGUCCG
rnacentral:tRNA from 1 species